rnacentral:tRNA from 1 species
GGAUGUAGCUCAGUGGCAGACCCCUUACCUGGCAUGCAGGAGUCCCUGGGUUCAAUCCCCAGUACAUCCA